UACGUAGGGUGCGAGCGUUAAUCGGAAUUACUGGGCGUAAAGUGUGCGCAGGCGGCCGCGCAAGUCGAGUGUGAAAGCCCCGAGCUUAACUUGGGAACUGCGCUCGAAACUACGUGGCUGGAGUGUGGCAGAGGGAGGUGGAAUUCCACGUGUAGCGGUGAAAUGCGUAGAGAUCGGAAAGAACACCAACGGCGAAAGCACUCUGCUGGGCCGACACUGACACUGAGAGACGAAAGCUAGGGGAGCGAAUGGG
rnacentral:rRNA from 1 species